UGAACGCUGGCGGCAGGCCUAACACAUGCAAGUCGAGCGGAUGAAGGGAGCUUGCUCCUGGAUUCAGCGGCGGACGGGUGAGUAAUGCCUAGGAAUCUGCCUGGUAGUGGGGGAUAACGUCCGGAAACGGGCGCUAAUACCGCAUACGUCCUGAGGGAGAAAGUGGGGGAUCUUCGGACCUCACGCUAUCAGAUGAGCCUAGGUCGGAUUAGCUAGUUGGUGGGGUAAGGGCCUACCAAGGCGACGAUCCGUAACUGGUCUGAGAGGAUGAUCAGUCACACUGGAACUGAGACACGGUCCAGACUCCUACGGGAGGCAGCAGUGGGGAAUAUUGGACAAUGGGCGAAAGCCUGAUCCAGCCAUGCCGCGUGUGUGAAGAAGGUCUUCGGAUUGUAAAGCACUUUAAGUUGGGAGGAAGGGCAGUAAGUUAAUACCUUGCUGUUUUGACGUUACCAACAGAAUAAGCACCGGCUAACUUCGUG
rnacentral:rRNA from 1 species